AAUACCGCAUAACCAUAGUUACCGCAUGGUAACUAUGUAAAAGGUGGCUAUGCUACCGCUUUUGGAUGGGCCCGCGACGCAUUAGCUAGUUGGUGGGGUAAAGGCUUACCAAGGCAAUGAUGCGUAGCCGAACUGAGAGGUUGAUCGGCCACAUUGGGACUGAUACACGGCCCAAACUCCUACGGGAGGCAGCAGUAGGGAAUCUUCCACAAUGGGCGAAAGCCUGAUGGGGCAACGCCGCGUGGGUGAAGAAGGUCUUCGGAUCGUAAAACCCUGUUGUUAGAGAAAAAAGUGCGUGAGAGUAACUGUUCACGUUUCGACGGUAUCUAACCAGAAAGCCACGGCUAACUACGUGCCAGCAGCCGCGGUAAUACGUAGGUGGCAAGCGU
rnacentral:rRNA from 1 species